UGAGGUAAUACCUAGGAAAUUGCCUUGAUGUGGGGGAUAACCAUUGGAAACGAUGGCUAAUACCGCAUAAUGCCUACGGGCCAAAGAGGGGGACCUUCGGGCCUCUCGCGUCAAGAUAUGCCUAGGUGGGAUUAGCUAGUUGGUGAGGUAAUGGCUCACCAAGGCGACGAUCCCUAGCUGGUCUGAGAGGAUGAUCAGCCACACUGGAACUGAGACACGGUCCAGACUCCUACGGGAGGCAGCAGUGGGGAAUAUUGCACAAUGGGACGAAAGCCUGAUGCAGCCAUGCCGCGUGUAUGAAGAAGGCCUUCGGGUUGUAAAGUACUUUCAGUUGUGAGGAAGGGGGUGUCGUUAAUAGCGGCAUCUCUUGACGUUAGCAACAGAAGAAGCACCGGCUAACUCCGUG
rnacentral:rRNA from 1 species